CUCCGGGGAGUCGCGGCGGUCGCUCGUCAAAAAGGUCCCUCACAAACGACGGCGUGUGCCGUCCCCGCUGCAUCUCGUUCCCUCGCCAGUUCUGUCCUCGCUGCCUGGCUAGCGAGGUCUCGGCCGAUGAAGUAAGCCGUCCCCCGCGGCCCGUCUCGGCGCCCACCGCCGGAGCCCGAGCGCGGGACCCCCGGCCCCCGCGAUGCCCGGCGUGCCGCUGCCGCCCAAGGAGAGCAACCUCUUCAAACGGGUCCUGAAAUGUUAUGAGCAGAAGCAGUACAAAAAUGGCCUCAAGUUUUGCAAGAUGAUUCUUUUGAACUCAAAAUUUGCUGAACAUGGAGAGACUUUGGCUAUGAAAGGAUUAAUAUUGAACUGUUUAGGAAAAAAAGAAGAAGCAUAUGAAUUUGUUCGUAAAGGUCUUCGGAGUGAUGUCAAGAGUCAUGUUUGUUGGCAUGUAUAUGGACUCCUGCAGCGGUCUGAGAAGAAAUAUGAUGAAGCUAUUAAGUGUUACCGAAAUGCUCUCAAGUUAGACAGAGAUAAUCUGCAAAUCUUGAGAGACCUGUCUUUGUUGCAGAUUCAAAUGAGAGACCUUGAAGGUUACCGAGAGACAAGAUACCAGCUUCUUCAGUUACGUCCAACACAACGUGCUUCCUGGAUUGGAUAUGCCAUUGCAUAUCAUUUGCUGAAAGAUUAUGACAUGGCACUAAAGCUAUUGGAAGAAUUUAGGCAAACACAGCAAGUUCCUGUCAACAAACUAGACUAUGAAUAUAGUGAACUGAUACUAUAUCAGAAUCAAGUGAUGAGAGAGGCAGAUCUCUUUCAAGAAUCUUUAGAACACAUACAAACAUAUGAGAAACAAAUUUGUGAUAAACUUUUGGUGGGAGAAAUUAAGGGGGAAAUAUUGUUGAGAUUGGGAAGAUUAAAAGAAGCCAGUGAAGUAUUCAAAAACUUGAUUGAUCGGAAUGCAGAAAACUGGUGUUAUUAUGAAGGCUUGGAAAAAGCUCUACAACUUAGUACUUUAGAAGAGAGGCUUCAGAUUUAUGAAGAAAUUAGUCAGCAGCAUCCCAGAGCAAUUGUACCUAGAAGAUUACCUUUGAAUCUUGUCACAGGUGAAAAAUUUAGAGAACCAGUGGAUAAGUUCCUGAGAGCAAACUUCAGUAAAGGGUGCCCACCCUUGUUCACUACUUUGAAAUCUUUAUAUUACAAUACAGAAAAGGUUUCUAUAAUCCAAGAACUUGUUACAAAUUAUGAAGCCUCUCUUAAAAGGUGUGACUUUUUUAGCCCCCAUGAGAAUGGGGAGAAGGAACCUCCAACAACUCUACUUUGGGUUCAGUAUUUCCUGGCCCAGCACUUUGAUAAACUUGGACAAUAUUCUUUGGCUUUGGAUUAUAUUAACGUUGCAAUAACUAGUACUCCAACUCUAAUAGAAUUAUUCUAUAUGAAAGCAAAAAUUUACAAGCAUAUGGGUAAUCUCAGAGAAGCUGCAAAGUGGAUGGAUGAAGCUCAGUCUUUGGAUACAGCUGAUAGAUUCAUUAAUUCCAAAUGUGCAAAAUACAUGCUUCGAGCAAAUAUGAUAAAAGAAGCAGAGGAAAUGUGCUCUAAGUUCACAAGGGAAGGAAUAUCUGCCAUGGAAAAUCUAAAUGAAAUGCAGUGUAUGUGGUUUCAGACAGAAUGCAUUUCAGCUUAUCAGCGACUUGGGAGAUUUGGGGAUGCCUUGAAAAUAUGCCAUGAAAUAGAAAGGCAUUUUUUUGAGAUAACCGAUGAUCAAUUUGACUUCCAUACAUACUGCAUGAGAAAGAUGACCCUUCGUGCCUAUGUUGACCUCUUGAGGCUAGAAGAUACUCUCAGAAGACAUGCCGUUUAUUUCAAGGCUGCUAGAUCAGCAAUUGAAAUAUACUUGAAAUUAUAUGAUAAUCCCUUAACCAGUGAAAGCAAACAACAAGAAAUAAAUUCAGAAAGCCUGUCGGCCAAAGAAUUAAAGAAAUUACUUAGCAAGCAAAGAAGAGCUCAGAAAAAGGCUAAAUUAGAAGAAGCGAGAAAACAUGUGGAAAGGGAACGUCAACAGAAAAGUCAAAAGAAGAAAAGAGAUGAUGAAGAAGAAACAGCCAGUAGUCUUAAGGAAGAACUUACACCUGAAAAAUUGGAAAGGGUAGAGAAUCCAUUAGAAGAAGCUAUCAAGUUCCUUAUUCCUCUUAAAAACCUUGUUGCUGAUAACAUUGAAACUCAUCUCCUGGCAUUUGAAAUAUAUUUUAGAAAAGGGAAGUUUCUAUUAAUGCUACAAUCUGUCAAACGAGCUUUUGCCAUCAACAGUAAUAACCCAUGGUUACAUGAAUGCUUAGUUAAGUUUUCUAAAUCUGUAUCCAGUCAGAGUAAUCUUCCUGAUGUUGUGGGUCAGGUACUAUCUCAAGAAAUGCAGAAAAUAUUUGUCAACAAAGAUUUGGAAAGUUUUAAUGAGGAUUUUCUCAAGUAUAACACUACCUCUCUUCAACAUCUGCUUUCAGGUGCUAAAAUGAUGUAUUUUCUGGACAAAUCAAGGCAAGAGAAAGCAAUUACUAUAGCCACUAGGUUGGAUGAGACUGUAAAAGAUAAAAAUGUAAAGACUUUAAUAAAGGUUUCUGAGGCACUGCUUGAUGGCAGCUUUGGGAACUGUAGCUCCCAGUAUGAAGAAUAUAGAAUGGCCUGUCAUAACUUGUUUCCUUAUACAUCUGCUUUCCUGCCUACUCUGAAUGAAGUCCACAGUACCAGUGAAGCACUGAACUGUACAGCUGAUAACUGUGAUGUCUUAACAAAUGAAAUCUGAAAUCUUGUAAGAAGCUGACUCCUGCAGACUCACAGCUGAAUUUACAUCAAGGGUUUUUUUCUCCCCCAAGUAUCUAAGGAAAUGAUACUUUCUGGUUGAACAAAGGUACUCCAGUUUUAUGUAAAAUAUUCUGAAUGUGAAAUAGAUUUGCCUUCUAAUCAUGUAAAUUUAUUGGUAAAUUCAUUGCCUAUCUAUGCUAGUCUUAAUGACCCACAUGCUAGAGUUGUGCUGUUUUAACUGAGUUGCUUAGGGAGUUCACAAGUAAUUUACCCUAAGAAGUAAUGCGUUUUGGAAGAGCUUAAUGGGCCUGAAUAGAAAUAAAUAAACCACUUCUUCUAGCUGUACAGUGACUAUUAAAUGUAUUUUUAAAUCUCUAAGUGAAACGAGAAUUUACUCCCAUUAGAAGAACAGAAUUGUGGUGUUUUGGGGGAGAUACCUUUUUGGAGAGAGAGCUUUUUGUCAUGUCUUGUGCAGGAAACAGUAAUGGAAUCAUUCAGUAUGUCUCAGAGCUGUGUAAAUAUGACUGUAAUAUUACUGCUUCCUUUCAAGCAAAUGUAAACUCAAAAAGGGAGAUUAAGACAAAUAAUUUAAUUAAAAUAAUGUUCUUUGACUCUAAAGCUUUCAGAUUUAUAAUUACUAAGGGGGAGGAGGAGUUAAAACUCACUGUAAAAUAAUACCUGCUUAGAUAAUGCUAUAAUAAAUUAUUUUGUACACAGUUA